AGGAUCGUAGUUAAUUAUAACGUUUAAUUUGCAUUUAAAAAGUACUAAUGUAUAGUCUAUCUUA
rnacentral:tRNA from 1 species